rnacentral:lncRNA from 1 species
UGCCCCACUCGCACUAUCCUUUACCAUGUUCCAUGGACCGUGAAAUUGGAUAAUAAUCUAAUUUGGCAUUAAAAUUAGAAAGAUUAUACUAUAGGGAACAUAUGUACUAAGUUUAAAGUUGAUUGGACUUCAAUUUUAUCAAAAACUACCUUGACCAAAAACUUUAACCUGAAACUCCCACUUUCAUUUUCUAUGUUCAGUGGACCGUGAAAUUGAGGUCAAAAGUCUAAUUUGGCUUUAAAAUUAAAAUGAUCAUAUCAUAAGCAACAAGUUUACUAAGUUUCAAGUUGAUUGGACUUCAGCUUCAUCAAAAACUACCUUGACCAAAAACUUUAACCUGAAACUCCCACUUUCAUUUUCUAUGUUCAGUGGACCGUGAAAUUGGGGUCAAAAGUCUAAUUUGGCUUAAAAUUAGAAAGAUCAUAUCAUAAGCAACAAGUGUACUAAGUUUCAAGUUGAUUGGACUUCAGCUUCAUCAAAAACUACCUUGACCAAAAACUUUAACCUGAAACUCCCACUUUCAUUUUCUAUGUUCAGGGGACCGUGAAAUUGGGGUCAAAAGUCUAAUUUGGCUUUAAAAUUAGAAAGAUCAUAUCAUAAGCAACAAGUGUACUAAGUUUCAAGUUGAUUGGACUUCAGCUUCAUCGAAAACUACCUUGACCAAAAACUUUAACCUGAAACUCCCACUUUCAUUUUCUAUGUUCAGUGGACGUGAAAUUGGGUCAAAGUCUAAUUUGGCUUUAAAAU